rnacentral:rRNA from 1 species
AACGAACGCUGGCGGCAUGCCUAACACAUGCAAGUCGAACGAAGGCUUCGGCCUUAGUGGCGCACGGGUGCGUAACGCGUGGGAAUCUGCCCUGUGGUUCGGAAGAACAGCUGGGAACGGCUGCUGAUACCGGCUGAUGACGAAAGUCCAAAGAUUUAGCGCCAGAGGAUGAGCCCGCGUUGGCUUAGGUAGUUGGUGGGGUAAAUGCCUACCAAGCCGACGAGCCAUAGCUGGUCUGAGAGGAUGAGCAGCCACACUGGGACUGAGAAACGGCCCAGACUACUACGGGAGGCAGGAGUGGGGGAUAUUGGACAGUGGGCGCAGGCCAGAUGCUGCUAUGCCGCGUGAGUGAUGAAGGCUGUAGGGUUGUAAAGCUCUUUUACCCGGGAAGAUAAUGACUGUACCGGGAGAAUAAGCACCGGCUAACUCCGUG